GGAUCCCCCGAAUAAAAACAGAUUACAUUUCUCCUCUAGAUUUAGAAAAAACCAAGCUUUCUGGAUAAAACACAGUUCACAUGUGCCU